CUGCUAAAAAGAUUUUCCAGCUCUAUUGAAGAACAAAGUUCACACCUCCCUCAAUCACCGGUUCAAUCACAAUGGCUUACAGUUAGAGACCUUCAUCAUAAAGAAAAGGAGUAAGUUAAAAAGAAAGAAGCUUUAAAUAGGAAAAUGAAGUUUAUAUUCCUUGAAAAUAAUUAUUUACCAAAGUAAUGAGUAACAAUCAGUGGGAAUAUUUUCAGUAACUAAGAUAAAACAUAUUCACAUUUUUUUGAUGACUGGACUGUAUCUGUCCUGUGUAUUCGUUCAGCAUUACGGACUAUGAGGCAGCGGGACCUCUGAGUAAAUAAAGCAUUGAGGAUCAAGUUGGUGAAAUAAAGCUUACCUCCUACCUUUGUGAAAAUACAACUUACUUCUUUCCUGUUGCCUGAAAUAACACAAUAGCAAGCAAUCAAGUGUUACAGGGAGAGUAAUGAAAAUCGUUUAUUAGCAGGUAAGAGAUCACAUGUAAAGGCAGUUCUUUGCUGAGUGUGAGUCAAAAGAUGAGAAUUAUUUUUGUGUUAGCAUUUCAUUGUCAUACAUACAAAUCCACAUGCAAAGACCUUUCUGACACCAGUUUUUAACCUGAUGAAUUUUUUAAUUUCUUUGCAAAACUCCUGAGAGCAUUGCAGAUGGGCAGGUGGGUUACCCUUUGCUCAACAACAACAAAACCAGAUCCUCCUCCUAAAACUUAAGCUGUUGUUCCCUAUCACCUGUGCUAAGCAAGUUGAAUUUGUUGGAACAUAACUUAAAUGAGCUUCAGAUCACACCUGUUGGAGUGUUGGUGUAAUAGAAUGAUUUACAAUAGUUGAGGUGGUCUGAUGAGGUUUCUUUCCACACCCUUUUGUACUUAAUACCAGGCUGCUAAACUGUGGAUGAGAGACCUACAUUGAAAUCCUUUUUGCUGGAAAAGAAAAGAGGAAAUAAAGGGGGGUGGAAGCAAGGAUUUUGGUGGCUUUCUGAAGCAGAAAGAUUGCACAACCUUUAAUGGUAGCCAGGCAGGCAUUUCACAGGUUUUCUGAAGACCAGAACGAGUUUGUGACUGGGUACAAAGUAAAGUUGAGAUGUUUCAGAGUAUCCAAGUCCUGCUCAUCGUUGAAGAUGUUACAUGAGAGCGAUGUUCUUGAUGAUGUGCCUCUCACAAAACUGAUGAGCAUGUUCACAGCUCUUUCACUUAACAAUGGGACAUAUGGUAUGAUUUGCAUUUGUGAAUUUCUUUGCUAUUAGCUCUGGAACUAUUUUAACUUUCUUUCAAUGUAGUGUUUUGUCUUGAAACAUAAAGAAUUUAUUGGUGAAAGUACAGUAUUGGUGAAUGUAUUUUAGCAGCAUUUGUGUUUAAGACAACAGUAAAGGGCGAUGACAUGGUGCAGUACGUGUUCUUAGCUUGUUAAUGUAUAGUAGCUCUCUUGUGAAAAGUCAAAGCAACAAAUGUACAUAUUUGUACCUAUACAUCCAUUAUAUGUAUGGUAUACUACAUUGUGGGAUAGCUUUCAGUUCUUUUCAAGAAGUGAGAUAUGUUUUCUCUUUGGCUGUAACUCUG
ensembl:lncRNA